ensembl:lncRNA
AUGGAUUUUACAGGGGGAGAAAUUAGUCUAGGAGGAGACACCUGUCCAAGGUCUUGGAGAUUCUCCUGGUGGAUAGGCUUUCACAAGUGUGCUGACGUAUCACAGAAGGAUGGACGUGGUAUUCUUCUUCAUACACAUUCUGUAAAAUCUGGCAAGCAAGUACCUCAAGGGAACCAACAGCCUAGAAGAAUGGUCCUCAGAGCUCACCAAGACCAAAUCUUCCCACUGAGCACAAGACACACUGAGGCCUGAAGUAGGAGACAGUGUCUUGCCUAUUGCCAGUGUAGUGUGCUGGUUGGUGCCACACUUAACUCACUCUUCGUUGCUUGUAAUAAAUAUCUGAAACUCUCUCUACUACCUAGAUGUGAAGAACCAGUUUAGUGCCAUGGAGGAAUUCCUGCCAAAUCCCUAGCUCUGUCUUUGCCAAUCUCAAGACUGUGAAGGGCAACCACGUGGAAAACGGUUUGGUGCUUAACUACAUGUCUUUUGCCCCAGCCCCAGGUCACCGCCAAGCAGAAAGUCCAGGCCUGGCAGGCUGAGGCCUCAGAGACAAAGACAGCAUCCAAUCAGGGUGUGCAGGAAGGGCACAGUUCAGCAGGGCUGGCAGGCCACACUGCCAUGGGCAGCCCCAUUCAUCAGCCACCCUGGGGGAUCUCAUUUUCCAGCUCCACGUAGGGUACAUUUUCUAAAUGUGACCCUGUUUCUGUUAUGAGAAUCAAAGUGCUCCAACUGCAAAAUCAUAAAUACUCAAAAGUGACAGCUAAUGGCAGUGGCAGUUUGCAAGAUGCCAAAUGGCAGCGAGAAGUGGACGCCAUAAAUUAAGGCCUGACUUCUCCAUUCUCAAGAAGGUGUUUUGUGGGUUUUUAGUGAUGAGAUCUGCUUUCAAGUGGAUUUACAGGGGCUCCCCGUGAAUUCAGGCAGAGCUUUUAAAAAAUGCUCCUAACAGAUGCUAAAAAGAAAACCAGAAGAAUCUACUACUUCAAGCCUAAAAUCAAGUUUAUUAAAAACAUGCUUAAUUUAUAACAGCCAAAAUAUGGAAAGUAGCUCAUCUGAAGAUGGCGAUGCUUAGUGUGAAAGUGCUAAUGAUUAUAAUAAUAGCAAAGAUGACAGCUAAGAUGUACUGGGUCAGGUACUGGGCUAAGCAUCUUGUGUGGAUUAUUUCAUUGAAUUCUCACAAUAGCUUUGUAUGGUAAGCCUUUGGUGGUCCUUAUUUUACAUGUGUGAUAGUUCAGGUUCCAAGAGGUUAAGCCAUUUGCCUCAGUGCAGUAAGCUGGUGAGUGACAGACUGGAGCUGUGAACACGUGGGAUUUAGCUUUAGAGUUUGGGAUCCAGGUAACCCUGCCAGCCCCCCUCCCAGCCAGAGCAGACCCAGAAUGGAGCAUAGUGAGGGUUCCUGAACAUCACUGCACUCAAGGAGGCCUGGGACCACGUAAAUGUCAGAUUAUGGGGCCCUGUCAUCAGCACAAGAGACAGAAGGACAGACUUUUGGAGAACACAAAGGAUCCCUUUUUCCAUGCAACUGUGAACUUCCAGGCCUGACUCUGUAGCCGCCAUGCCUUGAUCAAUAAAAUGAGGCCAUACAAAUUUCUGGCUGUUAGGAAAAUCUGGUGAGAUCACAUAUGUGGAAAGCUCCUUGAAAACUUAAAGGCACUGUACAAAUCAUGUUAACGAAACCGCUGAGAUCAAGUGGAUCCAGUCAAGGGCUGACAUGCCUCCUCUCACGUCCCCUUAUGGAGGCAGAGAUGGGCUCAGAGAGAUGAGAUAACCUGCUCAGGGUCUCAGAAUUGAGAGGCAGGGGCUCAGCCACGAGAGAGCAUCUGGAAAGCCAUUUGUUCCUCCCGUUCUCACUGCCACCCUCAGUUAAGCACACAUGCACGCGCACACACUCCCCAGGGAUCCUGGGGAAGCCACCCACAAAGGUCCCCCUUGAGUCGCAGUUCAAGUCAGUGUUCCCGUCUCCAGGCGGCAGUUCCGUGAAGAGUGCAGCCCAAGGACAGGUGUUACUGCGGCGUCAGAUUCAGCCCAUCUGUGCUGCCCUAAGCAGUGUGCACAGCUGCGGCGGUGGCCUGUGACCCGCAGGGCACUCUGCAGGCUCAGGAAGAUCAAGGGGCCCCCCAUUUCACGCUUAUCUGGUUUAUGUGCAGCUGGUCGGGGACAUGGGGAUGAGAAGCAGCCCUGUGCUGGGCUGUGAGGAGAUCGUGGCCCAGGGCCACCGCCAGCUGUCUAAGGACACGUCUCCAGGUUCUGCGUCCUUCCACGAAUUUCAUUCCUUCGGGAACUGUUCCACUUUUCCACAAAAUUCUUUGCAUUAGAUCAUUUCCCUCAGGGCCUGUUUCCUCUAUUUUCUGACUUUCAUAAAGCUGUAGAAAGGAAAGUUACAGAAUCAUAGAAUCUCAGAGCUCAGAGGAGCUUAGAUGCUAAAGGCUGUCUACCUCAACCUCUCACGCCCACCCCUUCCAUCUGGCACUGAGGUUCCCCUCUAAAGAAUUCCUGCCAAAGGGUCUUCCAGCCUCUGCUUGAAUACCUCCAAGGUGGGGAACAUGCUACCUUAUGAGGCAGCUUGUUCAAUAUUCUGAAUAAUGCAGUGACAGUCUAAGAGCAUGGACUCUGCACAUUACUAAUGAUACUUUGCUCAAGGCAAAAUGAAAACAUGGAGACCUUUGUUGAAAAUUAAGAGACUUUACUGGUGAUCCAGUGGCUAAGACUCCGUGUUCCCAGCAGGGAGACUGGAUUUAAUUCCUGGUCAGGGAACUAGAUCCCACAUGCUGCAACUAAAGACCCCACAUGCCUCAAACAGGGCCAGCUAAAUGAAUAAACAGAUAAACAAAUAUUUAAAUGAAUAUAGCAAAAAAAGAAACCACAAGAAUUUCAAGGUGGCAAGAGCAGAGCAAUGACCCAAGUGCGAGGCCCUUCUAAACAUGGGAUGUUUCUAAACACAGGGCCCUGGGCAACUGCCCUGGUCGCAGCCCACGUGGCCAGAUUCUGAUGGCCAACUCCAAGGGUUCAGAUCCCAUUUACUAGCCAGGACUAGCCUCGUGUAAAAUGGGGGUAACGCUAUUUCAUAAACUUGUUUCUGAAUGACAUGAAGUCACAAUGUGAAGUGCUUAGGACAAAGCCAGGCACAGAGCAAACACCAUCAUUUUUGUGCUCAAGAAAGAAAAAGAAGCCCACGUGGCACUCUCUACAUCAGUGCUUCUGACGUCUGCACACGGCACUUUUAGCCUUCACUCGUAAGCCUUCCCUUUACCUGGAACAGGCUUUCUGGCUCUGUCACCACUGCCAGCCACUAAGGGCCUUCAACCCUGGGGGCCACACAGUGUGUUCAGAGACCAGAGGCUUUGCUACCCUGGGGCCACCAGCAGAGAGCCGGUCUCCUCUUGAAGGGACAGCACAGUGAAGCCAUGUCCUUUCUGCUGAGUUUCCUCGGCACGGAAAAAUUGCAGAGCAGCCUGACUCCAGAGCCCUUCAUUUAUUAUUCAUUUACUUCCUUGUAAUACCACUGCUGAAGCACGCGAAGGACACAGCCCUGGAACGGGCUUCCCACCUGCACGCUAGUACUGAUUUGCCCCAACCAAGGCACAUCGCCUCUGAGUUGACUGUUUUCCAAACCCCACAAGCCCGGGAUACAGAGAGCCAGGCGGGAGGCAAGACACCCUCCCUCCCACUAAUAAUGCUCUUUAAACAUUCCAUGCUUUUUCAUAUUUAUCAUUUCCUCUAAAAUAUCUUAUUUUCAUAACACUCCUCUGAGGGAUGGAGCUCAGGGUUUACUGUCUUCAUUUUACAGAUGAGGAAAUUGAGGCUUCUUGGAAAGGCUGAGUAACUUGUCCAAGGUCAGAGAGCUUCUAAGUGGCAGAGCUGAUGAGAACCCGAGGGGCAACUGAUUCCACAGCCUGCACUCUACCACACAGUAUUUUCCCUUCUGCAUUCUAAAGAUAUUUUUAGGAGUGAUUUUUAAUAUCUAGAAUAUAUCUGUAAAUUAACUG